rnacentral:rRNA from 1 species
GAUCCUGGCUCAGGAUGAACGCUGGCGGCGUGCUUAACACAUGCAAGUCGAGCGAAGCACUUAGGAAAGAUUCUUCGGAUGAUUUCCUAUUUGACUGAGCGGGCGGACGGGUGAGUAACGCGUGGGUAACCUGCCUCAUACAGGGGGAUAACAGUUAGAAAUGACUGCUAAUACCGCAUAAGACCACAGCACUGCAUGGUGCAGGUAGUAAACUCGGUGUAUGAGUAGUCGGACCCGG